rnacentral:rRNA from 1 species
AAUCAACGCUGGCGGCGUGCCUAACACAUGCAAGUCGAGCGCGAAAGGGGAGCAAUCCCCUAGUAGAGCGGCGAACGGGUGAGUAACGCGUGGGUGAUCUACCUCCGAGUGGGGAAUAACCCCGGGAAACUGGGGCUAAUACCGCAUGACAUCCCUGAGUCACAUCGGGGAUCAAAGCCGGGGACCGCAAGGCCUGGCGUUUGGAGAUGAGCCCGCGUCCGAUUAGCUAGUUGGCGGGGUAAUGGCCCACCAAGGCUUCGAUCGGUAGCCGGCCUGAGAGGGCGGACGGCCACACUGGGACUGAGACACGGCCCAGACUCCUACGGGAGGCAGCAGUGGGGAAUUUUUCGCAAUGGGGGAAACCCUGACGAAGCAACGCCGCGUGGAGGAUGAAGGCCUCGGU